GUAUAUAUUAAAUUAUUGAAUUUUAAUUUUUACGGAUCCGAUAUUCAGAAUAUCUGCCCAUAUCCAUUGUAGAUAUUACCACCAUUCGGAUACACAUCUUUUUUUUUUUUGUGGAUACUGUUCAUGUACUGUUCACAGGUACUCCGAUAUUGUUAACGCGGCACUAUUUAUGGCACUACUAUUCAUUUGAUAGCAGUCAUAAGUUCAUCAAGGCGUGCGCAAUGCACUGUCCUUAAGACUAAUUUCUGGUCCUCUAGAAAGAUUUCCCAAUGUAAUAAGGACACAAAUAAUGCAGAUUGAUCUCUAGGAUUCAAUGAUACUAUUGUUGUGAGGUUGCACUCCAAACAACAGUGUAGAACACCAAAAGAAAAAAAUUAUGAAGGCAACAUAAGAUAGAUGGAGAGGUCAUAGAAGUUGUUCUUUAAAGCCUUUUAUGUCUUCUUUAUAUAGAAAAACUCCCUAUAAUCCUUUUCCUAAUUCAAUUUGAAUUAGUCAUUCAUGUGUCUCAUAAUUUAAUUCAAUUUGAAUAAUGCAAAUCUCGUCUAAAUUUGACUUAUUCAAUUCUAAUUUAUAAUUAAAUUAAACACAUGACUAAUUUCAAAUCAAACAUAAAAUUGAUUGCUCUCACUUCUCUCCAAUAUGGGAAAUUAGUAUUUUGAAAUAUCAAUAAAAUUCUGACAAUCCUCCACAUAUUUUGAAAUACUUCAAUUUUAUUCAUCAUAAAGUCUUAAUGCAUGUGAACUAGUGCCUUUUGGGCUAUGAACUAGCCAUUGAACAACUAAUCGUGUCUCACAAGAACUUGGUGAAACUUGUAGUUUCUAUGAAUUAAUAUGUCUUUUAGGUAAAGUAGAGGACUAGAAGCUCAUAUUAAACUCUUUUAGUCUUUUAUUGUUUUGUGGUCUGGCACUUUAAUGGCCCUAUGCCCCUACAUUCGAGUGCUCUAGAGAAGCCUGUAUAACUCUUAUAGGAAUCGACCCAAUUCCGCACUCAUAUAGGUGAAUUUCCAUCAAGUGUGUCAUACAAUUUUGACACACCACCAUACACAAAAUCUGGGCUAUGGAGUUCGUUAAGAGCUCAAUUGCUCAACCUAAAUCACUGCCUAUAGGCAACUAUCUCACAAUAGGGAGGACUCAAAUAAAUAGAUUGAUAGGUGUUGUGCAAAUUUUAUUGAACUCACAAGUAUACGAAUCUAUUGUAGAAUAGAUCAAUAGUGACGAGUGUAGAAUCAAUUUUCUAUUGUAGAAUAGCCCCCUUUUUAUAGAUACACUGAGUAAAUCAUGGUCAUCGGAUUAAAAACAAUUUGGAUGCUCAGGAUUGCGCCACGUGUCAACAAUAUGCGGUUUGAACACGCGGUUUGCAUAGUGAUGCAGUAUGAACAGUGAGGCGGCUUGAAUAGUGAUGCCGUUUGGUUAUAAAUAAUUCCGUGUAUAUGCAUGUACAUUACGCAUGAUUUUUAGUCUACUCACAUGCUGCUACGUCACCGAUCAACAAUACAUAAGAAUUUUAGUCCAAUAGGAUUGUGACACUUCAUUAGUCAAUGUCACGUCAUUGGUCAAUGCCACGUCAUUGGUCAAUGCUACGUCAUCGUUCCGUAUAUAUGAACAGUGUCGUGAACAGUUACAUGGACAAUACCGUACAUGUGAAUAGUGCCAUUUUUCCUUUUAUGCUCCUCCUAAGGUUUUCGACUGUCCUGAGUUCAAAAGUGAUGUCCGUUUUACUGUCUGAUCUCUCCUUCAUUAUGAAAUGACCAUGAUACCCCUAAAAUACUUAAUUAUAAUACAACAAAAAUAAUUAAAUCACAAGAGACUUAAAUACAUAAAAGUAGGGAUGUUAGUGAAACUUCGAGUGUAAAAUGACAAUUUUCUUCUUUAUAAAUAUAUACUUUCUAACACUCAACAAUAAGACCACAAAACAACAAGUGACUUUUUAUUACUCUUAUGAAAUUACUUCAUGGGAUCUUUAAUUCCAUAGAUAGGGUUACCAUGAUUUUGUCUUUGGUUAUAAACAGAAGUCUCAUCCCCUUAACAUAAUUACCACUAACCUUAGGUAGUAGUUUAUUAGAGAAUUGGCCAAAUGUGUCUUUGACAUCACAAUAGGGUAAUGUUCGGCCAAAGUUCUACCACUCAACUUCCUCUUUUUCUCUGGUCGUGCUAUUUCUAGUGAGGAUGCUUCACCAGAUUCUUCACUUGGGUGCCCACUUAUGGUUUCCUCUUAGCCAAAAGAUCCCUCGUCAUCACUGUUGCUAGGUGAGGUGGUUACUUCAGGAGACAUCCUCCUAGUACUACUCAUAACACUAGAAGGUCCUACCGGCUCUAAGGGGAUCCUGGGGUCAAAAGCAGGCUCGGCGAGUAGACUAGGCAGGAAAUCUAGUUAUCAUCAAUCUCAAUUGCCUUUUCCUUGCCUUUUGACAUUUCCUAAACUAUAUCCAGAACAAUGCAACCAAACACCAUUCAACCCAAGAAAAAACAACAAUUAUCCAAGACUGGAGAAGAGAAAAUAAUGCCUGGAACAGUGGCAUGCUGGAAUAGAGGUAAGAAAAGUGACUUCAACUUCGGUGGGAAAAGAUCGCUUGGCCAUUGGAGGGUGAAAAGAAGACUAAAAGAGGAAAUUUUAUUUUGAGAGUUAGGGUUCCCAAGUGACGCGAAAACCUUUGGUUUAUUGGCAUUUAACGGCAUGCACUCAGAGGGUUUCAUAACAGUCGGUUUGAAAUUUGAACGAAUGGAUAGAUUCAUGCCACCUCACCUGCAUUCAAUUAUGACGUGACUCUUCAGGAAAACGACUGUUAGGAGCUGAAAAGGGGAGUGAAUGUAGAAAGUAAGCAGAUCCUCCUCCCAACAUCAAGAGGUCGAAAUAUACCGUGAGCAAGCCAGGACUAUUAAGUUCUAGUAUUGAUUCAUUGCAUUACCAAUACCAAAAACUGGGGGACCGAUGUUUGGGGGUACAUUAUGGCGUGACCUGCCAUACCCAAACGAGGAGUCGUCCCUCUCGUAAGCGAGGAGCGAUGUGACGUCUGAGUGCAUGAGUCUUCUCUGCGUCUAUGAGGAGACCCUCUGUUGGGACCAUAAUAGGAGCAGGUUCCUUGCUAGGCGUCAAGAACACUUCUUGCUGGGGGCUAAAUCAGCAGACCCAGUCCACGACAGUUAAGCAAGACAUGCGCUAUUAUCCGAGAAUCUAAGCACGAAGCCCACUCAGCUGCAACCACCACAUUCACGUAGCCAUUUCCGGGGGUUGUGGCAAAGUGGCGAACGUGAGUCAAGGAGGGCCGAAUUCUCAGGGAGGCUAUAAAAGAGGCAAUCAAAGAAGGUAAAGGGGUUGGACAAAAACACUAAAAAAUUGGACUAAAAGAAAUUCCAGAGGGCAUUAUAAUUGGAACCUCAGGAAAAUUCAUAGAGAUUUUCAGUGCCUUAGAAACCAUUAUAGAGCCACAAAAUUAGUGGCAGAGUUUUUCCAAAAGUAAGCCCAAAUUUCUGACUUGAGCGUCGGAGGGUUUACGCUAAAAAAAUUCCUGGCGUGCUCUGACCAGUUUUUGUGUGCACAGGAGUCUGCCGAAGAAAAGUAGCAAGCGUCAUAGCUUUGCUCGUCUAGAAGGGGCAAAGUGAAGUUUCUCCAGUUAACUGCGAACUUGAGCGUUGAGGAGAGAUUCUCGUCGCGAAUGAGCAGACACCGAAUUCGCAUCAACAACAAAUAU
rnacentral:lncRNA from 1 species